rnacentral:rRNA from 1 species
GACGAACGCUGGCGGCGCGCCUAACACAUGCAAGUCGAACGAGCGAGAGAGAGCUUGCUUUCUCGAGCGAGUGGCGAACGGGUGAGUAACGCGUGAGGAACCUGCCUCAAAGAGGGGGACAACAGUUGGAAACGACUGCUAAUACCGCAUAAGCCCACGACCCGGCAUCGGGUAGAGGGAAAAGGAGCAAUCCGCUUUGAGAUGGCCUCGCGUCCGAUUAGCUAGUUGGUGGGGUAACGGCCCACCAAGGCGACGAUCGGUAGCCGGACUGAGAGGUUGAACGGCCACAUUGGGACUGAGACACGGCCCAGACUCCUACGGGAGGCAGCAGUGGGGAAUAUUGCACAAUGGGGGAAACCCUGAUGCAGCGACGCCGCGUGGAGGAAGAAGGUCUUCGGAUUGUAAACUCCUGUUGUUGAGGAAGAUAAUGACGGUACUCAACAAGGAAGUGACGGCUAACUACGUG